GAAACUGGGGGUGGUGGCACCAGCCUGCUCUGGGGGCCUGGGAAAAGCAUGUCUCUGGCACCCAUCCCUCUGCCAGCAGUGCCAGGGCUCAUGACAGCUCACUCUCUCCCUUCCCUUCUGUUUUCCAGAUGAGUUUGCCACACAGGAGUACAGUGCUCCCUGCACCACAGUCAAGACUGAACAAGGAAAUUCCUGAAGAAUACAUCUUGUUGAAGCCUUGCUGUAUCAGCUCAUGUGUCUCUGCCCCUAGAAGAUCUUUUUAAGGGAAAUGUUAAAGGAGGACACCUCAAAAGCCAAAAGGAAGAAACACUGUAAAUAAAUUAAUUCUUGAUCUCA